rnacentral:rRNA from 1 species
AUGCUCUCGGCGCCCACCGUCUUCUGCAUGGCCGUCAUCGAUGAUGCUUCAGGGUACAUUGCCGUCCGCUUCCUUAUUGGCUUCUCCCUCGCCACCUUCGUGUCGUGCCAGUACUGGAUGAGCACCAUGUUCAAUAGCAAGAUCAUUGGCACGGUCAAUGGCUUGGCUGCAGGCUGGGGCAACAUGGGUGGUGGCGCCACACAGCUCAUCAUGCCGCUUGUCUUCCACGCAAUCCAGAAGUGUGGUGCCACGCCCUUCGUAGCAUGGCGUAUUGCCUACUUCGUGCCGGGAAUGAUGCACAUCGUGAUGGGCUUGCUGGUGCUCACUAUGGGCCAAGAUCUCCCCGACGGGAACCUUGCGAGUCUCCAGAAGAAGGGAGACAUGGCCAAGGACAAGUUCUCGAAGGUCCUUUGGGGCGCUGUCACCAACUACCGGACAUGGAUCUUCGUCCUCCUCUACGGCUACUGCAUGGGUGUCGAGCUCACCACCGACAAUGUCAUCGCCGAGUACUACUACGACCACUUCCACCUAGACCUCCGCGCUGCAGGCACCAUUGCCGCUUGUUUCGGCAUGGCAAACAUUGUCGCGCGUCCUAUGGGGGGCUACCUCUCUGACCUUGGUGCCCGCUACUUUGGCAUGCGUGCUCGCCUUUGGAACAUCUGGAUCCUCCAAACUGCCGGUGGCGCUUUCUGCAUCUGGCUCGGUCGUGCGUCAGCCCUCCCUGCCUCAGUGACUGCCAUGGUUCUCUUCUCCAUCUGCGCCCAAGCCGCGUGUGGUGCUGUAUUUGGCGUCGCACCCUUCGUUUCUAGACGUUCCCUUGGCAUCAUCUCCGGGCUGACCGGUGCUGGUGGAAACGUGGGUGCAGGGCUCACGCAGCUUCUCUUCUUUACUUCAUCACAAUACUCCACUGGAAGGGGUCUCGAGUACAUGGGCAUCAUGAUCAUGGCAUGCACGCUGCCUGUCGCUCUUGUGCACUUCCCACAGUGGGGCUCGAUGUUCUUCCCGGCCAGCGCCGACGCCACAGAGGAGGAAUACUAUGCCUCCGAGUGGUCGGAGGAGGAGAAGAACAAGGGUCUCCAUAUUGCUGGCCAAAAGUUUGCCGAGAACUCACGAUCGGAGCGUGGAAGGAGCAACGUCAUCCUUGCCACGUCCGCCACACCACCUAACAAUACGCCCCAGCACGUAUAA